GGAGUUUGGACCGUGUCUCAGUUCCAAUGUGGGGGACCUUCCUCUCAGAACCCCUACUGAUCGCGGGCUUGGUGGGCCGUUACCCCGCCAACAACCUAAUCAGACGCAUCCCCAUCGCAAAGCGGUGAACCUUUACUGCAAUUCUGAUGUCAUCAUCACAGCACAUAGGGCAUUAAUCUUACUUUCGCAAGGCUGUGCCCUACUUUGCGGCAGGUUGGAUACGCGUUACUCACCCGUGCGCCGGUCGCCAUCAAACUUAGCAAGCUAAGUUCAUGCUGCCCCUCGACUUGCAUGUGUUAAGCCUGUAGCUAGCGUUCAUCCUGAGCCAUGAUCAAACACU
rnacentral:rRNA from 1 species